GGGGGGGGGGGGGGGGAGGCGGGGCACGGGGGGGUCGAACGGCGGCACGGGUGCUUGCACCUGGUGGCGAGUGGCGCACGGGUGAGUCAUACAUCGGAACAUGUCCUGUAGUGGGGGAUACCCCUGCGACAGCCUGAUUAAUACCGCCUACGAUCCUCGGAUGAAAACGUGGGCCCUUCGCGCCUCGCGCUAGAGGUUGUGCCGAUGGCUGCUUAGCUAGUUGGUUGCGUAAAGGCCCAACCAGGCGACGAUCCGUAGCUGGUCUUAGAGGAAGACACGCCACACUGGGACUGAGCCACGGCCCAGACUCCUACGGGAGGCAGCAGUGGGGAAUUUUGGACAAUGGGCGAAAGCCUGAUCCAGCAAUGCCGCGUGUGUGAAGAAGGCCUUCGGGUUGUAAAGCACUUUUGUCCGGAAAGAAAUCCUUGACUCUAAUACAGUCGGGGGAUGACGGUACCGGAAGAAUAAGCACCGGCUAACUACGUG
rnacentral:rRNA from 1 species